UGGGGAAUAUUGCACAAUGGGCGCAAGCCUGAUGCAGCCAUGCCGCGUGUGUGAAGAAGGCCUUCGGGUUGUAAAGCACUUUUGGCAGGAAAGAAACGUCGCGGGUUAAUACCCCGCGAAACUGACGGUACCUGCAGAAUAAGCACCGGCUAACUACGUGCCAGCAGCCGCGGUAAUACGUAGGGUGCAAGCGUUAAUCGGAAUUACUGGGCGUAAAGCGUGCGCAGGCGGUUCGGAAAGAAAGAUGUGAAAUCCCAGAGCUUAACUUUGGAACUGCAUUUUUAACUACCGGGCUAGAGUGUGUCAGAGGGAGGUGGAAUUCCGCGUGUAGCAGUGAAAUGCGUAGAUAUGCGGAGGAACACCGAUGGCGAAGGCAGCCUCCUGGGAUAACACUGACGCUCAUGCACGAAAGCGUGGGAGCAAACAGGAUUAGAUACCCUGGUAGUCCACGCCCUAAAACGAUGUCAACUAGCUGUUGGGGCCUUCGGGCCUUGGUAGCGCAGCUAACGCGUGAAGUUGACCGCCUGGGGAGUACGGUCGCAAGAUUAAAA
rnacentral:rRNA from 1 species